rnacentral:rRNA from 1 species
AUUGAACGCUGGCGGCAGGCCUAACACAUGCAAGUCGAGCGGUAGAGAGAAGCUUGCUUCUCUUGAGAGCGGCGGACGGGUGAGUAAUACCUAGGAAUCUGCCUGAUAGUGGGGGAUAACGUUCGGAAACGGACGCUAAUACCGCAUACGUCCUACGGGAGAAAGCAGGGGACCUUCGGGCCUUGCGCUAUCAGAUGAGCCUAGGUCGGAUUAGCUAGUUGGUGAGGUAAUGGCUCACCAAGGCUACGAUCCGUAACUGGUCUGAGAGGAUGAUCAGUCACACUGGAACUGAGACACGGUCCAGACUCCUACGGGAGGCAGCAGUGGGGAAUAUUGGACAAUGGGCGAAAGCCUGAUCCAGCCAUGCCGCGUGUGUGAAGAAGGUCUUCGGAUUGUAAAGCACUUUAAGUUGGGAGGAAGGGCAUUAACCUAAUACGUUAGUGUCUUGACGUUACCGACAGAAUAAGCACCGGCUAACUCUGUG